CAAACGUCUGAGUUUAAGUUGACUACUGUGAUCAUUAAAAAGACAAUGUCUAGAUCUAUAAAGGCUAACCUCUGGUACUAUAGUUGAGGUAUACCUCUGUGAUGCUCUGCUUUGGCCCAAUUUAGUGCCACAGGUUAGCCAUAACAAGCUGUAAAAGGUUGCCUGUCCAGUCUGGACUCCACCUUAAAAUGCAUGAUGCAUUGUAAUGGUUAGCUGACCUGCUCAGGCUACCACUGCCAUCAAACUAUGGAUGAACUUGCAGUUGCUUUUGUCUAAAUCCUGCAUUAGCCAUGCAAUAAGCACCCCUUGCAUUCUCUACAUAUUACUGUCCAAAACAGCAUGGGG